ACGAACGCUGGCGGCGUGCCUAACACCUGCCAGUCGAACGGAACUGUUUUGAAAGAUUUCUUCGGAAUGAAUUUGAUUUAGUUUAGUGGCGGACGGGUGAGUAACGCGUGAGUAACCUGCCUUCAAGAGGGGAAUAACAUUCUGAAAAGAAUGCUAAUACCGCAUGACAUAUCGGAACCACAUGGUUUUGAUAUCAAAGAUUUUAUCGCUUGAAGAUGGACUCGCGUCCGAUUAGUUAGUUGGUGAGGUAACGGCUCACCAAGACCGCGAUCGGUAGCCGGACUGAGAGGUUGAACGGCCACAUUGGGACUGAGACACGGCCCAGACUCCUACGGGAGACAGCAGUGGGGGAUAUUGCGCAAUGGGGGCAACCCUGACGCAGCAACGCCGCGUGAAGGAUGAAGGUUUUCGGAUUGUAAACUUCUUUUAUUAAGGACGAAAAAUGACGGUACUUAAUGAAUAAGCUCCGGCUAACUACGUG
rnacentral:rRNA from 1 species